UAAUACUGAGCUUCCAUUUCCAAACACUUGUGGUUAUCCAUGAUUCCUGGCCUUAGUGAAAUCAGUGACAAAAUGCUAACUAGCUACAGUGCUACUGGAUCCAAUAUUGAUGGCAAACACUUAGGCUCCAGAUGACAUUGUGCUUGCAAGAGAGCUCAGCCCAGCAACUUAGGGACAGGGCUGACAAUUCAUGUGGCAGGAAUUGAGAUCACCUGUCAGCCUGAUGAAACAGCUGAUGAAUCAAAACUGGAAGUUUAAAGGGGAGGAUGAAGUAUUCUGUCCUCCCAUAUUACAGAAGUGGACUAAAUCCAAGGGAAAAAAGGGUUGGAGAACACAAUGCAGCACAAAGCAAGCCUUGCAAAUAUUGCAGCCUGGGAGAUUUCUCUUUGGAUGAUCAGACAGGAACAGGACAGGAUGGAAGAAAACCAGAGAGGACAAAUGAAGAGGCACUGCUGGAGUGUUACUAGAAAAAGAGAAACAGAAGAGCACAUUUAUCUACAAAAGAGAACAUGAAGAGCUGAGAAGGUGGUGGUACCUGGCAUUAAAGUCACCCAUUUAAGUCUGGG
rnacentral:lncRNA from 1 species